GUUAUUUUUAUAUAUUUUAUUGAUUUUUUUCUAUAUUUGUAUAUAUUUUACAGAUUUUUUUGAGCUGAUCCAGCUGCACUUUGAAUGAGAGAAAGUGGAUGGGAUGUUCUUGUGCUCCUCUAUACACACACUCAUGCCAUGUAGCACCAGUCAGGUCGGUGUUAAUGGGAAGAAAGAAGCUUUUCAGGAAACAACGCAUUUCACAUCACCACUGAAAUACGGAUGUCAGAGGACUUUUAGAAAAAUCUUCUGAUAAAGAACAAGGCUGGAGAAGCUACACCACCAGAAGACAGCACAGAGAAUGUUGCAUCUUUUGCCAUUUUUCUUAUUUCAGAAUAACUUCUGUAGCAAUGAUGUGUCUGAUGGAACUUGGUACUCUGAAUUUUUACAGGGCCGUGCCUCACAAGAGAGGUAUCUUCAUUUAUUUGUACAGUUAGUAAGAGGAAACAGGCUGGCCAACAAUUUUGCUUACUCUUUCUGAUCAGCUAGCUAAAACAUCAACUUAAUUAUUUCCAAAAAUUAUAUUCCUUUUCUCCUAAAAUGAGGUUGGGAAUCAUUAGAAGGUACUUACUACAGCUAGAGAUUGGUCUUAUGGUUGUAAAGACAGAACUGUUCCAAGGACAGAAGAAACUGAACUCAAAGACAUAUAUUACCAUUCAUAAAGCUAUCCUUCAAAAUAAAAUACUCCUUAUUUAACUGUGAUCAGAACAAUGAUUGUAUAAAACGGUAAUCGG